AAGUCGUAACAAGGUCUCCGUAGGUGAACCUGCGGAGGGAUCAUUAACAGUAGGCUUCAUGCCCGCAUUAACGGGUAGAUCCUUCCCAGCCUAUGUUCUCAAUUCAUCCAUUGUUGGCCCUUUGGGCGGGUCCGUCAGGCUCACCGUCGGGCUAACCCGGCUCCGGACUGGUAAGCGCCCGCCAGAGGGACCUCAAAACCCCAUGUAAAAUUUCAGUGUCCGGUCUGGUUGCUUGAUAUAAAUAGGAUAAAAC
rnacentral:misc_RNA from 1 species